CGCGCGCCGCCCCCUCGUCGUCAUUGGCCGGAGCGCGGCGGCCCCGCCAUGACGGCCGCGGGCGCAGCCCGGUCCUAGCGCGAGCGGUGUAGCUGCCGCUGCGCGGGGCGCGCGGGGGAUGGGGGGGCGGGAACCCAGUGGCCCCUCCGCGGCUGCUGCGGAGCGGGGGAUGGGCCCGCGCGGGUCCUGGAAGCGCUGCCCGGGCUCUCCCCACACCCAGUACCCGAGGUUGCUGUCCCGGCCGGGAGACUAGCGCAGUGCGCACACACAACGCCUCUUAAAGGCUCCGCGAGAGGCUUUGGAUGGAAUCGAGGACUUUGCCUCUCGCAACUUGGCGAGGCCACAAAAUCGCCGCUCGCGCACCACCCGGGACUCGCGGCGCAUCUUGGUGCGCACUAUGCCAAAGAAAGAGAAAAGUUCCCUGGUUUCUUUGCAGAGGGAUAGGGGGUGGGGGUGGGAAGGUGCCAGGAACUGAGUUUGCAGGUAUUUCCAAACGAAAGAUUUGGCCAAAUCCGGGAGAUGGUAAACCCUUCUCUUAAUCAACUAUGAUCACUUGCUUGGUUGAUGGCUCACUUAAAAAUUCUUUUUUAAAGGAAAAGGCCGUUUAGUGUUUGUCUUUUCCCUGUAGGCAAGGAAACAUUUACAGGUAUGUGGCCUGACAUUUUAAUUGCUCAAAUAAAGCAUCUCGGAUGCUGAGAAGCAGAAGUAGACUUCAUCUCAUUGUCACGACGCAAUUGAAAUCAAUUUUUCUCAACUUUAUCCUCUCUCUUUGGUUUUAGCUAACUCCAACCCAACAUCCUGCCACUCACUCAGUCAUGGUGAGAAGGAAAAGACUCCUGCCCACUGAUGGACAGGCGGAGGCAGCUGCCCAGCCUCUCCUAUGCACACCUUCUGUACACACAUGUAAGGGCAUAUGUAUCAGAUGCACAUUUGUCAACAUACACAGACAAAGACUUCAGCGGCUAUGCUUCUAGGUCAUAGAACAGUUGAGUAUAGACUUCAUUGUUCCUCAAGUUCCUUUUAAGCAUUCAAAUAGUCAUUAAAACACACCCAGAGAUUCUGCCCCAAAUUGGAAAUAAUACUAGUAUAAGUCAAGAGAACCACACACAAGCCAUAGUCUAACUCAAGAGAGUCACUGCAAAAAGAACAACUUCAUAGCCUAUACCAUUCUGCUCAAUGUACUAAAAUCAUUGAUAACACUUGUGUCUUUGAAUUCCAGGGUGUUUGGUUUUAGACAUCAAAAAUGUAGAACUCACCCCAGAACACACUAUAUUCUAAUGCAGUAAAUGUGUUGUCUGAUUAUGACCAAUCAAUGGACUAUUAUUAUUCCAUUCAUACAAGAAAAUUGUGCCUUCAUUAUACACACUUUGCACCAAGAAAAACUGUAUGCCGGUAAGCCGACCAGGUUUAUGAACAAUUAAAAUAUUGUACAGAAAAGACGCUGAGCUCCAGGAAAAAAAAAAAGAACAAGUGUAAAGAGUAAAUUGACAAAUACAGAAAAGCCUCCUUGGUAGAUGAAAAAUGGACUAGACAAAGAUAAUUAAAAAAUAAAGUAUACAUGUAAUUGACAUGUAUAGAUUGCCCUUUUGCAUUCAAUUCUUUUUAUACACAUAGGCAGAAUAAGAGGUAGAGACGAAGUGAAGAUAUGAUCAGAUAUGGGCUGGUUUUUAGGAAAAGAAAAAUCAUCUUCAAGCUUCACAUCUGAAACCCCCUAAGCCCUUACUCUUUGCUGAAAUCAUAUUUCACUAAAUCUACAGAUGCUGAGAUUAUUUAUAAGGUGUAAAAAAAAAAAAAAAAACUAACCCUCCAAACCUGUAAUGGACAGUGAGCUAUCAUAAACCUGAUAUGUAAUAAAAUUGUCACAGAGAAUUUCAGGUUGAUUAGAGACACAAUAUAACUUUCUCCUGAAGAGGACAAGAAGAAAGGAGAAGAAAUCAUUUCAGAGAAGAAGGUUUUGAGUUUUGUUUCAACUUCUAUGAUUCAGGAAUUGCUUUAUGUUACAAAUGUCAAUGGAUUGGGGCAAACUCAGCAGAGAUGUGGUGAGGCUGGGGCUGAAAUAGAGAAUCUAAUGGGCAGUCCAAUCUCAAUUUAGUAAAAAGAUGGAAAUAAUUGAUUAUAGGGAAAUCUUAAUCUCACCUCUUGAGCAGGGAGAUGUCUAUAGCAAGAUUACCUUUUACAAACAAGUGAAGGGGACAAUUUUGAGAAGGGAGAGCUUUCCCAAUCCACUUAGACAUAUUGGGAAUUUAAACUAUGCUCUGGUUCUGACCGCUUAGAUAGAAAAUGAAGAAUUUCUCAACCAUCUCUUGCAGAAUUGGAGCCUGCUAGGGAAACGAUCACAGGGCUGCUAUGAAAUUAGAGGUGUUUCACUCUGUAUUUUAGGACUCACUCAGUUAUGUGUGAGUUAAACAGUUAAAAAGCUGUUACAAAGGGGAGAGAAAUCACUGUUUAAAUUGUAGUUAAGUUUACUGCAGAGAAGAGACAGGACUGAGACUGAGAAGAAGGCAAAAAUACUUUAAACUGUCUUCAGGGCUGCUCAUUUGCUGUGACUCUAAUAUUAAAAAGUACGCAGACUAAAAGAUAAACAUCAAUAUAUUAUUACUGUUUUUUAAAAUCCAGCUCAGUUUUUUAUUGCAGAUGUAAAUUUAUUUUAAUGAGAGAAAAUGGCAAGUUUUAAUUUGUCUAGAGAAAGUUGGACAAACAUUUGUCCUGAUCUGGAAAGAAAAAAAAAAAAAAGAAAGAAAGAAACGAACACCCAGGAAUAUAAUUUUCUUCCAGAAAGUGGCCUGAUGGGCUGUAUGUAGUUCUUUACAGAUUAAAUCACAAUAUGAAUACAGACCCCAGCAAAUACUGAGUUUAACUCUGAACUCAGUAGAAACCAGUUUCGUCCUCCAGGAUUCAUUGAAUUCCUCCUUUCCUUCAAUCUAGACCGUGUGUGUUUUUCUCUUCCACCACACUGGAGCUCCAUGAAUAGGGAAAGGGGCUUCCAUUGUGUCCCUCUGAACUUCCAAGUCAAUGCAAUUUUUAACCACUGGCUUGUGGUACUUUGAAAAUCACCAGGGGCUGUCAGAGUUGGGUCCUCUGAAAAAUUUACAGUGCUAAAUCAGAGCAUAUGCUGGGAGGGAAAAAAUUGCUUAAGAUUGGAGCAAGUACAGUAUCUGUCUGCCCCCUAGUGUAAGAGUCCUCUCUGCCUAAAAUUCAACUUUAAAAGAAAAGGAGCUCUUAAAGGGAAACGACUUUGGGCUCACGUAGGCAUAGGAGAAUGAAACUUCUGUACAUUUUAAUCUGAAUAAUUCUUCAGGAUUUAAAAUUAAUUGGCUCUGACUUCGUUGGACCGUACUCGGAUCUCGCCACCUCUGCGUUUCCAGAGUUACUGGCGAAGAGGCGAUUUUUUUUUUUUUUGAACUGGGUUUAUGUGCGUCCUCCUCACCCCCUCCUCUCUUUUUCUUUCUCUGUGUCUCUGUCGUCUCUCUCGCUGGCUUUUUAAAAAUGAGGAACCGUUCCCUGAACGUUCUGGACAGAGCACAGAAUUGCUUCUUAAGUCAGCCCGGCGCGGUUGCAAUAGACAGCAAAAAGGUAAACGUUUGCCUGAAACCCGCACGCCAGCUCCACCACCCCGCCCGAUGAUUUUUCUCUUCUUUACUUGGAAGGCAAAGAAGAAAGUGGGUUUGCCGCUCUAAACCCUGUGACCUAAUAGUCAUCUAAUGCUCUGGUGUGGAAUCAGAGGCUCAAGGAAGCUACAUUACCUGCCCAGGAUCAGACUGCCUGUAUCCCUACGAAUCCCUCCUAAGCCUGGUCUGCUCCCAGAACACCCCACUGUCUUCUGCUACAUGACAUCUCCAUGAUUUUGCUCAGAAGAUGAUGUCACAAAACAAAAGGUUUCAGAUCAUAUUCAUUUCAGCGCAUUACCCUCGAGGAGUCUGCCGCUAAGAACAAAUUAUGCUGGAAGGAGACACGGCACUUCUUCUGAAAUCUGGCCGGCAUCUUCUGAGGGGUGGCCCGGUCUGCUCAGCUCUUUCAGAAGCUGUGCAUGUUAAAUAAAUACUCAGCAUUUGGCUCAGCCACGGGCGCGAAGGAGAGCUGGAAGAAGGCAGAAACGUGCAGUAGGGCUCUCGAAGCUGGCCUGCAGCCUCCUGUGUCUGCAGGCCCCCAAAUGGAACCACUUGGCUGUUUAUAGGAGUCUUAGUGCUGAUGAAAAGACUGAAUUACACUCCAAACUUAUCACUGCCAAUGAAGAAAAGUUCCAGAUUCUUUAAAAAGUAUGUAAAGCAUCGUUCUGAAAAGUGGCAACGGCAUUUGGGACCAAUUACCCAGAUUAAGAGGCAACAAUGAUCUGUUUACACUUUGUAGCCAAGAGCCCUUUGGCUCUGGUCCACAAACUGGAGAUUGUAAAUUACAGGAAUUUCAGCCUAACAUUGACUUCUCUUUUGACCUGUGUGUCUGGGAAUAGAGAAAAGCUGGUAGACAAGCCUUGGGUAACUUUCCUUAAAAUUUCCAUGAAUGGAGAACUGAUUAUCAUCUUCCAGGUAAGACAGUUGACACAUGGAAGGCAUGGUUUGAUCACUCGAGAUGUGUCUAAUUAACUGUGCAAGAUGUGACAGGAUGUGGUUUUUCAACUUGCUACUCCUCAAAAACGAUUUUUGCAGAAGUUAGAAAAUAAAUGGCUCCCUGUCCGUCUUUUGCUUAAUUACCAUAGCACUCC